ACGAACGCUGGCGGCGUGCCUAACACAUGCAAGUCGAACGGAAAGGCCCUGCUUUUGUGGGGUGCUCGAGUGGCGAACGGGUGAGUAACACGUGAGUAACCUGCCCUUGACUUUGGGAUAACUUCAGGAAACUGGGGCUAAUACCGGAUAGGAGCUCCUGCUGCAUGGUGGGGGUUGGAAAGUUUCGGCGGUUGGGGAUGGACUCGCGGCUUAUCAGCUUGUUGGUGGGGUAGUGGCUUACCAAGGCUUUGACGGGUAGCCGGCCUGAGAGGGUGACCGGCCACAUUGGGACUGAGAUACGGCCCAGACUCCUACGGGAGGCAGCAGUGGGGAAUAUUGCACAAUGGGCGGAAGCCUGAUGCGGCAACGCCGCGUGCGGGAUGACGGCCUUCGGGUUGUAAACCGCUUUCGCCUGUGACGAAGCGUGAGUGACGGUAAUGGGUAAAGAAGCACCGGCUAACUACGUG
rnacentral:rRNA from 1 species